CAAACAGCAGCUAUUAAACCUGUUGAGAGCACAUACUUCUUUAUGUACCCAUAUGAAGAUACAAUGUUAUGGAAUGUAAAGAAGUAUGUAUUUUUGAUAGGUACAAACUACCAGGAAAAGA
rnacentral:pre_miRNA from 11 species